AAAUUGAAGAGUUUGAUCAUGGCUCAGAUUGAACGCUGGCGGCAGGCCUAACACAUGCAAGUCGAACGGUAACAGGAAGAAGCUUGCUUCUUUGCUGACGAGUGGCGGACGGGUGAGUAAUGUCUGGGAAACUGCCUGAUGGAGGGGGAUAACUACUGGAAACGGUAGCUAAUACCGCAUAACGUCGCAAGACCAAAGAGGGGGACCUUCGGGCCUCUUGCCAUCGGAUGUGCCCAGAUGGGAUUAGCUAGUAGGUGGGGUAACGGCUCACCUAGGCGACGAUCCCUAGCUGGUCUGAGAGGAUGACCAGCCACACUGGAACUGAGACACGGUCCAGACUCCUACGGGAGGCAGCAGUGGGGAAUAUUGCACAAUGGGCGCAAGCCUGAUGCAGCCAUGCCGCGUGUAUGAAGAAGGCCUUCGGGUUGUAAAGUACUUUCAGCGGGGAGGAAGGGAGUAAAGUUAAUACCUUUGCUCAUUGACGUUACCCGCAGAAGAAGCACCGGCUAACUCCGUGCCAGCAGCCGCGGUAAUACGGAGGGUGCAAGCGUUAAUCGGAAUUACUGGGCGUAAAGCGCACGCAGGCGGUUUGUUAAGUCAGAUGUGAAAUCCCCGGGCUCAACCUGGGAACUGCAUCUGAUACUGGCAAGCUUGAGUCUCGUAGAGGGGGGUAGAAUUCCAGGUGUAGCGGUGAAAUGCGUAGAGAUCUGGAGGAAUACCGGUGGCGAAGGCGGCCCCCUGGACGAAGACUGACGCUCAGGUGCGAAAGCGUGG
rnacentral:rRNA from 1 species